UUGUAUUGUUCGAAUACUUGAAGCAAAUUAUUAAUGAUUUCUGAAUAUACCAUCACUGUAAUUGAAUUUUUAUGUUGACAUGGUAUCCAUGUCAGAGAUGGAUAGCAUAUUUUUAUCAACUGACUUCCUUUUAACAUGGUUGAAAUAAUUUGGUGGAAUUUAUUGCAUUCAUGAUUUAUACACUGCUCUGAAGUAUUGUGGCUUGUUGAUGAUUUCUUGUUAAACAGAUACAAAGCUUGGAGGAAAGUGCUGAAUCAUUAAAGGAGCGAAGUUUAAAGUUUUACAAAGGGUGCCGAAAAUACACUGAAGGACUUGGGGAGGAAUAUGAUGGGGAUAUUGCUUUUGUGGGUGCACUAGAAACUUUUGGUGGAGGGCAUGAUGAUCCCAUUAGUUUGGCUUUUGGAGGCCUGUUAUGACCAAAUUUACCAUUGCGCUGAGAGAAAUUGGGACUUACAAAGAACUUCUUCGAUCCCAACUAGCAAAGCCUCAUAACUUUGUAACUCAAGUGUAGCAGUCAACAAUAGCAGAUGGGAGUGGAAGGGCAGGGGCCAUGCUGGAAGGGCACGACAAUGAGUGGACUAUAGCCAUUGGAUGUUGUAACUCAAAUGUAGCAGUCAACAAUAGCUGUGUGGACUCAAGUAUAGCAGUCAUUAAAUUUAUUGUAACUCAAGUGUAACUCUCUUAAAUUUAUUGUAACUCAAGUAGAACUCUUUUAAAUUUAUUGCACACUUGUAAUUGCACACUUCUUAAAUUUACUGGUCCUGCAUUAUUUUGUCUA